GUGUGUGUGUGUGUGUGAUCUGUAUGCUGAGGUUGUGAUAGGGGGGGAUAAGUGAGGUCUGUCACCUACUGUACUGCCCUCAGGGCCACUUAUGAGCUCGUCAGCUCCGUCUCAUGCUUUAUUCAUACCACAAUCAUUUAACUAAGUGCACCGACUAUUUCAAUAUUUAAUGCUGUUGUAAUCGAUAUGGAACCCGGCAUUUUGCCCCAGUUUUUCAGCUUUUUUUUUUCUAAUCUCGCAAAAGUUCUGUUAUUUGAAUUAAAGGUUAAUCGAGUUGCGCAAGAGAUGGUAAUUACACAUUGAUCAAAGAUUUGCUCUCCCCAUCAUCGUUCGCAACCCACCCCACCCCACCCCACCCCCCUUCCUUUUUUUACUCAACAUCACCCUGACUGCAUGCAAGAUGGCCCCCAGCACAAACUGAC
ensembl:lncRNA